AGAAUUUCUAUUUUAAAAUUAGAUUUUAAAACACUGCGCGCACCCAUACGGUGUCGCAGGCCACUUGGCUAUACUUUAAAGUCUCCAUACGGUGUUGCUAGGCUCUUAAAAGAUAAUUAUCACAUAAUUAGUAGUACCCCAAAAUUCAUAACCCACCAACCAAUCAUAUCCACUAUUCACACACUUCUUCCUGAAACUAAUGUGUACAUUCCUUGUUUCAGAAAACAAGGGGGUGGAAGAAUUGAAAUACUUUGUACAGAAAGAAAUUGAAAAUUAUUGAAGACUGAAAUAUAGUUUCAAGUAUAUGGAACCAGCUGGGAGUCAGGGUGGAACUGAAGCUGCUGCAGGCAGUAGUCCUACCUUUCAUCCAAGCCAAUGAAACUGUGACAGAUACCAUGCAUACCAGAGAGGCUCAGCAGUCUAGAUGUUAAGGGAGUGUGACCAGCAAAGAGCUAAGUGGCUGCCUAAGUCUUUUUUUGAACACAGGGAUGGACAUCCCAGGGCCACCCACGUCAAUGUGCGUAUUCUAGCAAGUCCCAGCAAGCAUGGAACUGUACCUUCUGGCAGUUCAGGAAUGAUUGGCAAGCUUGGGGCACCUCACCAUGAACACAGAUAUCUGUGCCCUAUGUUCCCUGACACAGUGCAAGUCACACAGGCUCCCACAAGGCAACCUUAGCCAUCUGCAAAAAGUUUUGUUAAAUGGAAGCGCAAUACUUCUCAAAUUGCUGAGAGGAAAUUCAUCUGGAGGUUUGCACUGACAGUGAAUGGACUGAAAAUGAAGAUUUGGCGAGAAAGAGUUGGAACUCGACACAAAGCAGUCCACAGUGAGCUCCAUGCAAGGGGAAAGGAGAAGGUCAAUCUGUGAGCUCGGCUCCUAAAACAGUUUUCACACCUCACGGUGUAUUUUUUUUUCGGGACUAGAGAAGAGGAGAUAUUCAUCCAUUUUUUCAUUAGUGGUAUUUUAUGAAGUAAAAUUAUUUGUCCCAAACCUUAUUGAAGGGUACAAAAGUACUUUCUGUAAUCCAUUAAAAGAUUAAUGUAGAACCAAAUUGGAUAGCCAGUGUGUCGUUCUGUCAUCUGAAACUGGUGUCAUAUUUUAAUCAUAUAAGUACAUGAUAUGUGUUAAUAUUGUAACGUGUUUACGUUACUGAAUACGCCGU